rnacentral:rRNA from 2 species
GAGUAAUGUCUGGGAAACUGCCUGAUGGAGGGGGAUAACUACUGGAAACGGUGGCUAAUACCGCAUAACGUCGCAAGACCAAAGAGGGGGACCUUCGGGCCUCUUGCCAUCAGAUGUGCCCAGAUGGGAUUAGCUUGUUGGUGAGGUAACGGCUCACCAAGGCGACGAUCCCUAGCUGGUCUGAGAGGAUGACCAGCCACACUGGAACUGAGACACGGUCCAGACUCCUACGGGAGGCAGCAGUGGGGAAUAUUGCACAAUGGGCGCAAGCCUGAUGCAGCCAUGCCGCGUGUAUGAAGAAGGCCUUCGGGUUGUAAAGUACUUUCAGCGGGGAGGAAGGUGUUGUG